rnacentral:lncRNA from 1 species
UCUGAAGGCCAUGCCAGGGUGAGAGCCUGGGUUUCUGCCUUCUCUCUGUCUUAGGGCAGACUAGAGAGAGAAACCUGUGAGGGACACACAACACCAAGUGUGUACCAGGGUGACUUUGAACUCACAGGAGUUGCGUGGGAGAAGGGGAUUUCCACCCGGUUCUUUCAGAUGAUCUUUCUGAACGUUAACACUUCUGUCCUCGAAUUGGCCGCCUGGCUUUGUUUUCCUCCUGGCCUCCAGACCUAGUCAGGAUCACCUGAGCAGGGGGGAGCUCCCUGGUCUCUUAGGAGUUUCCGAAGCUCAGGUAUUGGCUAGGAGGAGCGGGAGUGAUAGGGCAAGGUAGGCAGGCACUGAUGGGCCGGCAGAGGUAAGGGCGGUAUGCAGGAGUAAAGCAAGGGAGACCAGUAUUAAGGUUCAACUCUGCAGGACUCUCCUUCCACUGACCCUUUUCCCCUUUGUACUCUGCCCUUGUCCCUGCUUAGCACCCUUGCCUGGGGCCCCUCCCUCCUUGGCUGCCUGAGGCUAGAGACUGGGAGAGCCACCUCCUGGCUCCCUUUCUUGGCUUCCUCGGGUCAGUGAUCCGACCAUAGCCUCUGCCUUAUGCUCACAUGUGGAUUUGUGCAAGGUGUGCUACGUCCAAGGGCCACGGGGCAGCAUAGCCCUUCAGAUCCGUAGGGUCUCCUGAAGAGAAGGGAACGGGUCCCCCAGAUCCUGGCCAGCCUGUGCUAGAAGUGGGUGAUUUGAGGAAGCUAUUACUCUUUGAAGUUCUAGUGCCUUCCUGUCCUGCCACAGAAAACCGGGGCAAGGGUCAAAAUAACACAGGGUGUAAAACAACAGAUCCAGGAUGAAGGUAAGGCUGUUUACCAAGUCCACAGGUUUUCAUGACAGUCAGGAGAGCCCACCAUCCAGGUGCCUGAGUCCUGGUCUGGGGGAGCGUGUUGGAAGAUACCCCACAAGAAGACAGCCGCUGAAGCAGGAUGUCUUGUCCCAGAAGGCAGUCCCUUGAGUGUGGAGCCACACUGCACAGUUUUCUGUGUUACCACCAUGAAUGUCCCCUUAGCUCCUAAAAAUCAGAAAAGGGCCAUUCAGGGGUAGCCUCUUUUCCAGAUGUGAGACAGCCUAUGAUACAGGGAUAAGGCUUGUCUUUUUUUUUUUUUUUUUUUCCAGAGCUGAGGAUCGAACCCAGGGCCUUGGGCUUUCUAGGCAAGCGCUCUACCACUGAGCUAAAUCCCCAACCCCAAGGCUUGUCUUUUGGGGACAGAAUGACUUAACAUUAAUGUCUUCCCCAUCCUGGUUUCUUAGCCCACUGAGUCCCCAGUAGCAGUGGGUUUUGAUGCAGCCGCAGAUGUUAAAACCUUUCAACCCUGCUCAGAGACUCAACCUGAUUUGGAGACACAGGAUAAUCCUUCAAGGGUCACCACACUUGAACUCAGAGCGCCCUAAUUUCUAUGAUACUGGAAGACAAGAGGGGGUGUGGAGCAUUAGCAGUUCCAAGAAAUAGCCGCUUUAGCCCCUCCCACCCCAUCUUACCUCCAAGGAAACCAUUUGUUGCUGUGCUUAGAGCUUCUGGGGCUCCAAAUCUAACGUUCAUUGUCUUUUUCUCUCCCUUCCUUUCCCCUCUUCCCCUCCUGUCUGUCUGUCAUUUUUCCUUUCCCUUCCCUUUCUUUCCUUGACAAGAUUUCAAGUAGCCUAGGCUGGCUUCAAACUUAGCAAGGAUCCUCCUGCCUUGAGUUCUGGUACUACAGAUGCGCACCACCAUGCCAGUCUCUUCAGUGCUAGGGACUAAAUUCAGGGCGAGGCAUUAUGUCAGUAUGUCAGGCAAGCAGUCUAACAACUGCAUUACGUCCUUAGCCCCUAUGUAUAUUUAACUCUGUAAAUCUUUUUUUUUUUUUUCAAGACAAGGAUUCUCUGUGUAGCCCUGGCUGUCCUGGAAGUUACUCUGUAGACCAGGCUGGUCUCGAACUCAGAAAUCCGCCUGCCUCUGCCUCCCAAGUGCUGGGAUCAAAGGCGGGUGCCACCACUGCCCGGCUGUAAUUCUUUUUAUUAUCCUUUUUGAUUCAGACUACAGGAACAGGACUGGGGUGUAGCUCAGUGGUAGAGUACUUGUCUAGAAUGUGCAAGACACUGGGUUCAGUCUCCAACACUGCAAGACAAAAGCAAAACACGAUUGUAUAGAAGUACAGAAAUGGUAGAGGUGGGGGUGGGGAAUGCUUAAUGGGUCCAAAGUUUGUCUUGUAAGACAAAAGAGUCGGGCUGGAUGGUGGUAAGCUGGUUACACAACAUUCUGAAUGUUUUUUAAG